UCAUGGGCGUAGCCUGAACCAGCCAGUCGCGUGAGGGAUGAAGGUUCUAUNNCACNGUAAACCUCGAAUAUAAGGGAAUAAAGUGCGGGACGUGUCCCNUUUUGUAUGUACCGUAUGAAUAAGGAUCGGCUAACUCCGUGCCAGCAGCCGCGGUAAUACGGAGGAUCCGAGCGUUAUCCGGAUUUAUUGGGUUUAAAGGGAGCGUAGGCGGACGCUUAAGUCAGUUGUGAAAGUUUGCGGCUCAACCGUAAAAUUGCAGUUGAUACUGGGUGUCUUGAGUACAGUAGAGGCAGGCGGAAUUCGUGGUGUAGCGGUGAAAUGCUUAGAUAUCACGAAGAACUCCGAUUGCGAAGGCAGCCUGCUGGACUGUAACUGACGCUGAUGCUCGAAAGUGUGGGUAUCAAACAGGAUUAGAUACCCUGGUAGUCCAAGGGCGAAUUC
rnacentral:rRNA from 1 species